ACUCAAAGGAAUAGACGGGGGCCCGCACAAGCGGUGGAGCAUGUGGUUCAAUUCGACGCAACGCGAAGAACCUUACCGGGGCUCGAACGGUAGCCGCUACUCCUGGAAACAGGGGGUUCUCUUCGGAGACGGUUAUCGAGGUGCUGCAUGGCUGUCGUCAGCUCGUGUCGUGAGAUGUUGGGUUAAGUCCCGCAACGAGCGCAACCCUUGCCCUUAGUUGCUACCAGGUAGUGCUGAGCACCCUAGGGGAACUGUCGGCGAAAAGCCGGAGGAAGGUGGGGAUGACGUCAAGUCCUCAUGGCCUUUAUGUCCCGGGCUACACACGUGCUACAAUGGUCGGUACAAAGGGUCGCCAACCCGCGAGGGGGAGCUAAUCCCAAAAAGCCGAUCUCAGUUCGGAUUGCAGUCUGCAACUCGACUGCAUGAAGGCGGAAUCGCUAGUAAUCGCAGAUCAGAAUGCUGCGGUGAAUACGUUCCCGGGCCUUGCACACACCGCCCGU
rnacentral:rRNA from 1 species